CAAGUUCGCAACGGUAACAGGAAAGUCAGACUUGUCUGCCUUCGCUUGCACGCAGUGGUCGGACGGUGGUGGAGAUANUGNUCUGGGCAAACUGCCUGAUGGUAGGGGGUAUNACUACUGGAAACGGUAGCUAAUACCGCAUAACGUCGCAAGACCAAAGAGGGGGACCUUCGGGCCUCUUGCCAUCGGAUGUGCCCNGAUGGGAUUANCUAGUAGGUGGGGUAACGGCUCACCUAGGCGACGAUCCCUAGCUGGUCUGAGAGGAUGACCGGCCACAUUG
rnacentral:rRNA from 1 species